UUCCUGUUGGCGCCCAGGAAAAAUAUUGUACGAGUUGUGGAAUGUUCACAGGAUUUAUAAAGGUUCUGGGGUACAAAAGAUGGCAAUUAUAUUCAUAAUCUACAGAAGAACAAGACAGAAAUGAGAUAUAUUGCCAUGGGGACAGUUAUUAACGCGAUGACGACAGCCGCCCCUAUAACCGCCCAAAUCACCUUGCUGCAGCCCUGUUAAAGCAACCUUGAAGCGGGAAACUCUACCCGUCCUCUUCGUCAUAUCGAACGUGAGCAUGUUCGGUGACAGGUGCACUGCGAUGACAAAGUACCACAGGGACCAUAUAAUCACCAGAAGAUC